AUCAAUAAGCGGAGGAACCU
rnacentral:rRNA from 1 species